GAUAACUCGAUCGGGCUACCAAUUCGUCCAUUCGUCCAUCCAUAACAUCUACUCAGCUAUGAGGAAGUGUAUCACAACCCCACAUCCACUUAUUACUGUAGAAUUUGUUUACCCUAAUGAGUUUCAUGGAAAGCCAAGUGUUCCCCAAGUGCGAGUGUGUCCGGCCGAAGAAUUUCCCAGAGGAAUAACUCGCGUUUGUAUCCGUACCACACCCCGUCGGAAUUUAUUUUAUUAGUGAAAUAAACAUCUUUCAUGGGACAGGGUCGAUAUUGGCCCGGAGUUCGGGAUAGGCAAACUGGAACUAAUGGAACUGGAGAAUAUAGUCGCCAACACAGUUUAUCUCAAGGCCCGAGAAGGUGGAACAGACAGUAACAAAGGGAAAAGUAAAAAGUGGAAGAAAAUCCUACAGUUUCCUCACAUAUCACAUUGUCUUUUUUUAAAAAACCAAAUAGACUUUAGGUAUAGUUACAUUGUUGAUCAGCAACCCAUUGGUCGGCUAUUAUUUAGACAGUUUUGUCAAGAGGUGUGCCCUCAGUACCACACACACAAUGUCUUUUUGGAUUCUGUGGAGCAAUAUGAAGUCGAAUCGGACGAGAAUAGGAACGAGCAGGCUCGAUCCCUCUUUGACAAACACCUAGAAACAAAUGCUCCUGAACCAGUAGAAGUUAUAAGUAGUGAAAUUAUUGAACAAUGUAGAGAAAGACUUACUUCAGGGUGUCGGGAACUCUUCACUCAUUGCUCCGAUGUGGUCAAAACAUUCCUCGCAGGUGAACCCUUUGAUGCGUUCAAGGCGUCCAUGUACUGCAACCGAUACCUCCAGUGGAAGUGGCUAGAGAGGCAACCAGUAACAUAUAAGACAUUCCGAAUGUAUAGAGUUUUAGGGAAGGGUGGUUUCGGAGAGGUGUGCGCCUGCCAAGUCCGUGCCACAGGCAAAAUGUAUGCUUGUAAAAAAUUAGAAAAAAAGCGAAUAAAAAAGAGAAAAGGUGAAGCAAUGGUACUGAGAGAGAAACAAAUUUUGCAAAAAAUUAAUUCUAAAUUUGUGGUUAGUUUAGCUUAUGCCUAUGAAACGAAAGACGCAUUAUGCCUAGUUUUAACAAUAAUGAAUGGAGGCGAUCUGAAGUUUCAUAUUUAUAAUAUGGGCGGAGAUCCUGGCUUUGAUAUUCCUAGAGCAAGAUUCUACGCUGCUGAGGUGCUAUGUGGGCUGGAGCAUUUACAUUACCAAGGGUUAGUUUACAUGGAUUGUAAACCUGAAAAUAUUCUAUUGGACGAUGCUGGUCAUGUCCGAAUAUCUGAUUUAGGUUUAGCCGCUGAAAUACCUGAAGGCGAGAUGGUGCAAGGGCGAGUUGGCACCGCUGGCUACAUGGCGCCUGAAGUGAUUGACAACGGAGUUUAUGCAUUUAGUCCUGACUGGUUCAGCUUUGGAUGUCUAAUCUAUGAAAUGAUAGAAGGACAAGCUCCGUUCAGGGGGCGCAAAGAAAAAGUCAAAAGAGAAGAGGUUGAUAGGCGAGCAAAAGAAGACCAAGAAAAAUACUCAAAUAAAUUCACAGAGGAGGCCAAAUCGCUCUGUAAGCAGCUUUUGAAGAAAUCACAUAAAGUGCGGCUUGGUUGUCACUCCGGUCGUCACGGUGCUCGGGAGGUGAAGCAGCAUGAGUUUUUCAAAUGUUUGAACUGGAAAAGGAUUGAAGCCGGAAUGUGGGAGCCUCCGUUUGUGCCUGAUCCGCACGCUGUGUAUGCCAAAGAUGUUUUAGAUAUUGAACAGUUCUCAACCGUCAAAGGUGUCAACCUAGAUGCUACUGACGACACUUUUUAUUCCAAAUUCAAUACCGGCUCUGUCUCGAUUCCAUGGCAGACUGAAAUGAUCGAAACAGGUUGCUUCAAGGAGUUGAACAUUUUCGGACCGAAUGCUACACCUACUCCAGACCUGGUCGUUGAUACUUGCUAUGAGCCAGAGAAAAAAGGCUGCUUUCCUUGUAGCAAAAAGAAAAAGAAAUUAAAUAGAACAAAGCCGCUUCCAAUUUCUGAACGCUUUCCUAGAUCUAUGUCAAAUAUCAAAUUGGAAGAAGUCAAUAGCUGAUUAGGAGUUCCUGACAAAGAUAUCUCUUAAAAGAGAACUUUAUCUCACAUUGAACUUCAAUCGUGAGGUAUUCAUGCACCGCAACCUUGGUGACGGUGCGCAGUCGCGCAACGAUUUCUCAGUCUUCGAAUCUGUUUCGUCUAUGUUCCCAGAGCUGUGAAAAUUUUCAUAAGCAAAUCUGUGUCCUGUGGUGUCUCUACUGUAUGUAUAAAUUGUGCCAAUUUUUAAUUCGUCAAAAUAAGCAGUUUUAAAUGUGUACAUUUUUUUGCAAAGCUACUUUCAUAGCAGAGCAUAUGUUUUUGUCGUGAAUCAAGUCUGUAAAUAAUUGUAAAUUAUUGUAAGAGCCUCUCUUUUUUCCUUUUGUGUCUUUUCGCACAAAUACUGAUGAACCAAUUUAAACAGGUCUGUAGGCAUUUUUCCUCUUUUGAUACUUCUCAAAUGCAUUGAUAUCGGCUGAAUUCUUGACAUUUUACUUUUUAAGUUACGCUUCAGACUGCAUGCUUGAUUCAAUGAAACCAAUUCGAAAAAUUUACUUCAUCUUGCAAUUAGAUGAUUAUGCCUCUAUCCGAUGCAUCACCUUUGAAUUCCUCGCAAAUUCACCUGUGUUGAUCAAUUUUUUUUUGCAAAGUGAAAGUCGCCUCAGUUAUCUGAGGAAAACUUGUGCUGUUUGUAUUGUUUUUACAAAAAAUGAAAUUUUUGUCCUGCAAGAUGUUGAUGUUGCGGUUAAUUCAUAAAAUAGUAUUAAGUAGUGAAACCUCAGAAUCACAUCUACAGGGCCUCAGAUUUAUUAUUAUCAAUGCUGUAAUGAUUGUCCAUUACCUAUUGUUGACAACAAGCAGUUAAAAUCAAUUUAUUUCUGCUUAGAUAAAAUUACUAGAAUUUUUUAAAUUUGUAAUUCAACAAAAGUCUCCAAAAUUGUGCUAAUUUUUACAAUAUGCCAUGAAUUUGCUGUAACGUUUGCUCAGUAAAAUAUCUCCUUGACAUCAAAGAUUUACUGUGUUGAGUAAAAGGCCACUAAAUGGAUGAGAUUUACUCAUUUGGGCCCUUGAGUUCAGACACUGUUUAAUCGUCUACUCUUCACGUUUGUAAGCCUUGUAAAAACCUCGCUAGCUUGUAAUUAUCAUUUGUAAUAAUUUAAAAGAAGAACAAAGGUGCUAUAAUGAAGCCAAAAAUUUGUUUAAACGAUUAACAUCAAACGAUUUCUGUACGUACAUUUCACUCCUGACAUAAUGCUCUGAGGAAUCAUGAUGAGAACUCAUGCCAAGUUUUAGCUUUUCUCAGAUCGAGAAAAUAGUUUGCUUUUUGGUGAUUAACAGAUGUUAUCACUCUGAGGUGUCGUUCUGAGCGGAAGAGUGUUGGUUGUGUCUUUAUUUCUUGCAAAAAUCUUAAAGAGUAUGAUUUGGAACCUAAUUUCAAUUGUUUUCUUCUAAAGUGAUUUCACGAUUUUGUGAUACACCAGCUGCAGACUGCAAAUACUGGAAUCUCUGUUUUAUGACUACUCGGUGGAAAUCUUAAGCACUAAAGUCGAAUUUUUUCCCUUCAAAACAGAAUAGCGCAGAAACUUAAAUUUCAGCUAUUGAGAUUUAUGGCCGCUGAGUUGAGCCAUUGAUAAGCAAAAUUUUGCCCUGAAAGCAAGAUGCUUAUCAGGAUGCUUACAAACUAACAACUAGCUCACUCUUUUGCUCAGACUGUAUGCACGGGUGUCUGAAUUUUCACCAUGCUCUCUACUUAAUUUUUCAAAUUGAAAUAAGGAAUUUAAAUGGCUAAAUAUCAAAAUUUUAGACUACUUAUUCAUGUCACUUGCAGUUGCAACGGCUCUCUUUCUCAGAAGCUUCUCUUUGUUCUGUUUGUAGAUCCAUUUGUAAGCGUCCAUUUUUUUCAGUAAAUUUUUUACCCUGCCUUGUAAAAAUCUAGAGAUCGAUUGUAAAUUUUUAAACGUUGGAGAAUGUAUAGAGUAAGUUUCAGUUACCGAUAACAGUGCUAAAGAAAUUAACCUUUUUUAUUCUUUGGAGAGAGACCUUUUUCGAAGGUUUAGUAGUGCAAUUCAUAUUUCCUUUUUUUGUCUUUUAAGCCAAUCGAGCACUCGAGACAUCACACAGUUGCUCUUAUAAUUUAUUUUAUUUAUACAUACGUAUACAGGGUGAUCCAAAAAGUCCGCAGUGCCCCCUUAACCCCUGGUAUUCUUGUCUCUUUCAGGGGGAUUCCCUUAAAAUUUUAGGUCCUAAAAGUCGUUUUCUUGAACCCUGGAGCACUCAAAAAAUUUUAAGUUUCUGUCUCGAUUUGUCCCGAAGUCAAAGGAGAGAUACCUGGUGCUGGUGGUGCGGUACUAUUGGAUCACUCUGUACAAUUUUAUUUGUUUUAUCUGUGCUUGUGUAUCAUUAUCAAUGACUUUUUUUAAGGUUAGAGACCUUAGUGGUGUGUCUUAUUGACAUUUCAGUACGUAAACUCGAAUUUCAAUUUUCGGCUCAGCGUGAAAAAAACUCUGCUGUGCUACAGAAGAACACUGUAUGAGCCCUCAUACGUUGUCAAAUUUAUUUUAAUGAAAUACGAAUUUUCUAGGAAACUUAUGAAUAGUCUCUCUCCCCCCCCCAUUUCUGAAGAGAAUUUUAUCGACAAUUCGCUCUAAAGUUCCUAAAAAUUUCAAGCAUUCUCUCAAGAUUCUUCAACUUAAUUCAGUAUUCCCAAUUAAUUAGUGAGGAGUUGAGAACCUAUCAAAUAGAGCCCCUGUAAUAGUCAGGGAUACAGAUAUCCCAACAGAUACAGAUAUCUGAUUUAACCAACGAAACCCUCUUCAAAAGAUUGGAAGGACGUUUUAGUUUUAUCUGCAAAAUUAACUUCCAAAAUGAAGAAUAAUUUAAGAUCUGGGAACAUUUUUCAAAUAAUUUUAUCUCGUGUUUUAGCUUAAAAUAUUUGUUAAUUCUACAAGGAAAAUUUUACAACAUUCCCUCAAACAUAAUUAUUAAUACAGGGAAAAAGUUGGCAACACUCGAUUGUUGGCAUAGCGUUUUUCUGAGCAUGAUAAAAUUGGUCAUGGUUCACGGUUCACGGUCCUGAAAUCAUUGCAUCUUUUCACUGAAAUGUCUCUUUCUACCAAUAGUCUCAUUUUUAAUGUUUUCUAGCCCCUUGAAGCCAUCAUAGAACGUUUGCUCAUACCCAUUUCCAGUCCGCAGCCUGCUUAUUGCAAAUUCUGCAAGUUCUAAUUGCUCUCAAUAUGUUUUACUAAUUCAGAAUUAGCAAAAAGAAUUAUUCAGAAUCAGUAGAAUUAGUAAUUCUAGCCAUUGUUUCGUUAUGUCUCCUUGGAAACAUACUGAAAGUACAAACUAGAUUAACUGAACCAGGCCAGAAUUUUAUCAAUGAAAUAUCCUUUCUAGACAGCUUUUUUCAACCCCUAUUGCAGCUUUGUUUUUUUUUCACAAUUCAAGAUUCAAGAACUGGUCAGAAGAAAAAAAGCUUGAUUAAGCUAAGAUUUUAUGCAGCUUGAGUUUGAAAUUUUUUUUACAUAAUUUUAGAUGUUUUGUUGAUGUAAUUUUCAGCUGAUUAUUACCAACCAUGAGGCCACCGCUUCCAAUGGUCUUGAGGUGAUAGAAGCGUAAAGACCUAAAUGUUGAAAUACCUCUUAUCGUAAGAUCUGAGUUUUAUGCAUAAGCAUUUUAGUUGAAUCAACUUAUAUCAUCUUUGCAUUCAGUUUAAUUUUAUAUCCAUUUUGAGGUAUUUAGAAGAAAAAUUCUAUCAGCUUUGGAAGUUAUUAAAAAAAAAUGUCCACAAUUUUAGGACAAUGUAGGUAGCCACUGUUUUAGUGAUUUAUUUAACUUGUUUGUGUGACUUAGCACAGCAGAUUUUUUUCAAAGCCUCAUUCAGGUAUCUUAUUGGCUCAUAAACUUAAUUUUUCAUCUACCACAGUAGUUGAUCACAAUCUAUAUACAAGUGUAUAUCCUAAAUUCUCUAUUUAAAAGGAAAACGAUGAGACACAAGUCUUCUACUCUCCUAUCAUUCAAUCUUAAGUAAUUCUAACUGUUGAAAAAAACUGAAGAGUCAAUUGUAUCAUUCAGUGAUACUGCCGAAAGUCACGCUAAUCGAUCUCAAGACUGAAUAGUUGAUAUAUCCCCCAAAACUAACCAAAAAGUUUUCUGCUAAACUGCCAUUAAUCAAUUUUUCAUUUGUCAUUGCUUGAAAUAAGUAAGAAUGUUUGUUUUUGGGGCUCUGGAUUGGUGUUGGCGAAGUUUUGAUUUUAGGUUGAACCCUUCCUCUUCACCAUAAGGCUUUGUCCUCUCAUGAAAGUGUACAAGAUGCAGUUCAAUUCUUAUCUUUUCCUAUGUUAUUCCAUUUAGUUCAACAAUUUUUUUUCCAUCAGCAGAGGGAACUAAGUGUAAAGAAGGGAUACCAAUGAGAGCCGUUUUUGGGCCAACAGUAAACUUUCUCAACUCUGAAUUUUUGCUCAUUGAAGGCCUGUAUCUUAAAAAAUGCAUCAUAAUGUAGUCAUUUCUGGUCCCUUUUCAGGUCCAAUACUGGCCCAUAUUUAGGCCUGAAGGCCGAUUUUAGCGGCAAAAUACGGAUUCUUAAGCGUUCGACUGGAAACCCGCAAGACUCGUAUUUUUCGCCAGUCGUCCGACCUUUGUUCAGGCCAGUAAUGGACCUGAAACUGAAAAGAGACCAGAAACAAUGCAUUCCGUAAAAUUUAGACCUUUGAUGAGCAAAAAGUCGUAGAGUUGAGGGAACUCAGCAAGGGUGAAACCAAUAACGUCCCUUAUCGAUACCCCUUCUUAAAAACUAAAUUUCUCAUAUGAAUGGGACCUCAGCCACUCAGCAUCCAUUAUUUUACUUUGAACCGCAGCCAAAUCCAAAAAUCCCUCUUCCAAAAUAAGCAAUAAGUCAGUUUAUCUUCACCAGUAACUGGUAAAGUCUGAACUACGAUCUCUGAGUAUGUGUUCACCUCAGUAGAAAAUAAGGCGCAGCCUUGAAGUCAGUCCUGUUCUUAUUUUUCAAAUCCCAUCACAGUUUAGAUCUGAUGUACCAAGUUAAUAGUAGUGCAUCUGUGUCUCUCCAUCUUGUUUCAUGUUGGCUCUUCUAUUGCAUGCAGCCCAAAUUUUGUUGGUAGCAAUUUUUUUCUUUGAUGAGUAUGAUCAAAAGGGUUUUAUUCAAUUGCAUUCCAUGGUCAAUCUUUGUCUCCUGUUUACAUCCCAAAGAUUUUUGGGAACCGAACUUUCCACAUUUUGAUUGUUUUCCUAAUAAAUAAUGUUUUGUAAACGGCAAUAUCACAAUAAGUAAAUAUCAAAUCUCUGAACCGAAUGAAGUAUAGAAUGAAUAAAAAAUUAGGCUAGAGUACUGGGCAGAGUUGUUUGGCGGUGUAGAUGUAUUUAGCUCAUGUCAUGAGGACAGUUUUAGAAACUUAGAGCUUCGUUUAGUUCUUCAAGCUCUCCCAGGCUUUUAAUGGAAACGAAAUUCAAAUUUCUUAAGCCGAUGAAUUCUUGUUUUUCCCCGAGUCUCUAUCGGAAUAUCAGGAUUUUGGCUAACCCUUCUUUAAGGAUACAAUCUGGUACUUCCAUUUUAGUUUGUAAUGAGAAUCAUCCUUUGGCCUUUUGACCACUGAUUGAUAGUUCACGCUAUUGAAAAUCCACCAAUAGGUGUAGUUUGCGAGACAUGAUAUUCAAUUUGCAGGCUCUUGAGAGCAAAUGAAGCAAAUUUUAGUUCAAUUUCCGGAUUAUGCUGAUAUAAAUUGCAGUCUGCUGCUACCAGCAAAAUUUGGGUUCAGGUGAUCAUAGUUCGUGUUUUUAUAAUUUUUAAUCAUUGACAAGAAUCUGAGUGUAAAUAACUUGAUUCAUUCUUUUACUUUAUUCACUGGUUUAUUUGUGGUUCUGUGAGCUCAUUAUUUCUGUCUCUCUCCCUAGAGGUUUUUACGUACAGAGAUGAAUCUAAAUUGUUCAUGUGAUCACUUCCAAGGCCUCAAAUAUUGACAAGUUCUCAAUGGAGCCAUUAUUUCAAACUAUUUAUUAACUCAAGAUCUGGGUGUCAAAGCAGGAAGAAGGAACAAUUGUUCUCAGUCGCCAAUGAGUCAAAGGUCAUUUGUUUGGAACCAAUUGCUACUUAAGAAAUGGACUUUGAGAUGUGAGGGUACUUGUUGAUUCAAGGUCGUGUUUGGUUACUUAGUUCAGGAGACUGCUUUUUGUCAGACAAAGCAUAGCCUGAUCGCUUGGUUCAAAAGUUUCUAACAAAUUCUCUCCUUGUUUCUCUGUUUUUGCUGAUUAGGUUACAAGUAUGCAGCUUCUCGUGACCCUAUGUUGUAAGUUUUGUAAAUCGAAGUCUCCAUUUUUCCUGGCUCUUACCUGGCAGUAUAGCCUCGGGACAUUUUUGCGCUUUUAUCACCUUUUCAGAGAUAGGACUUGAUCCUCCCCCUUGAAUUUUUUUGUUUGUUUUUUCAAAGGAUUUUCCUUGACUUCAUUUUUUGCAGUGGUACUUGAAAUACCGCUCUUGAGAAAACAGCCUAUUUUAAAAAUACCAGAAAAAUAUGCAGUGAAUUUUGCUAGCAUUUUCUGCUGCAUAUAGGCACCAAAGAAAUGCAGCUACAGUGAACUAACUGAGCCUUUCUCAAAGGGAAACCAGUAAAUGUAGUUAUGUCAUACUCUGUAACAAAACGCCAUUGCUGUCUCAAUUGUGAAGAUUACUAUAGUAGUUUCAAAGGAAAGAACUAUCGUAAAUUUUGGUCUUACCGAUAAGGAAUCUCCUCCGCACAGAUCUGAAUCCCUCAAAACCCCAUCUUGUACAUAUUUAGUUUUAUUCACUCUCAAACCUCUUUUUCUUGAAAGAAGAGCAAAUCAACCGCAUAUUGCAUGUUUCCGUAUGGUACCUUCGCAUUUUCUCGCAUUUUUGCUUUCCUUUGUUUGUUUGUUUUUUUUUUUUACCCUUGUAUACUGAAGCUCAAAUUUUGUUUUCAUAAUGUUAACUUUUGUGUCUGUAAAUAGUGUAUGUGUAUGAAAAUUUUGAAAGUGCAGCAUUGAAGACUGUGUGUCCAAUUUCAGAGCAAUGAAGAUUGAGCUCAGAUGAACGUAGGAAAGAGUAUGAGGAUCUAUCAACAUAUUUUUUGUAUCGAUACAAGUGCACUGUAAAGAAUAUAAGGACAGUUUCUUUCAUGAUAUUUGCCCAAAAUAAUAACAUUAAAAUUUAUUAUAGGGGCACUUUGGAUCAAAAUUUCUGAAAGCUUAUCGACAUUAUGGAAUUAGAGGGUUUUCAAAUUAAGUAGAAUGCGGAGUCAGGAAAUUGUUUAAAUUCUGGUGGUUCUAGUAAGAUUAAAACUGAUUUUCCCCUCCCUAAAAAGGAAUGUCUAAUAGGCCUCUAAGUACGGUACGAAUUAAAGGGCUGUGUUCUUUUGAUUCUUUACUGAAUUAAACAUGUAUUAGAUUGUUCAAAACAGAAAGUAUGAAAUUAAAUCAAUAAUGAAGAUAAUACCCACGUACAACAAACGCUAAUCACAUUCAAGAUUUUUAUAAACUUAUGAUUUUAUCUAUCUGUUGAGAUUUCUCACAAACCCAUUUUCCCUUUUUUAAUGUUAAGGCAGGUUUUUGACAGACCCUCAGAAGUCACACUCAUCAGCAACCUUGUUUUGGCGGUGGAUUUCAAUAAUGUCUCUUUGUGAGGCUGGCUACUGUAACCAGCAUCAGUUGCAUCAAUAUGGAUCAGAACAAAAAUAUAAUUUCAAUUAAUGUCAAAAACGAAAGAGACAAGGAUGUAAUUAGACAGAGCUUGGUAGAAAAGAACCGAGCAACGGAAAAAAAUGAGUUUGGAUUAACCAGUCUUACUUUUUUCUCUAGUCAAAAGCCUGAUAUUGGGAAAAAAUAUUUCAAACUGAAAAAUAAAGGGUUAAACUAGAUAGAUUAAGCAAAAUCAGCUUAACUGCAUUUCUUGUUCCCUAUUGUUCGCUCAUUAAAAUCGAUACAUGAAUUAAAAUUGUUUUGUGUUGAGAAAGUAAAACAUUACAGAAAACCAAGUAGUAUCUGGAAUAAUUAAACCAACUCCAGUUAAAUCUGCCCAGCCUAGGUAUAUUCUCAACAUCAGGUCUUGUGGAAAAGGAGAAUCCAAGUCUCUCUUUCCUGGUCCCAAUGCCUUAUUUGCUUUCUGCCCAACUCGAUCCAAUUACAAAGUCAAUAAUCAAUUUUAAAUUUUGUGGCAAAUAUUUAUUUGUACUACAAUGCUCAUUCAAAGUGACAAGCUCAGUUUUUGUGCAAUUUCACCAUAAGAAAAUCUGCAUUUUUGUCUGUCAGAGGUCACGUAUCUGUUUUAACUUUUAAAUCCAACCAACGCUGAUUUCUCACUCACAAGUUGAUGUAUAAAAUUUUCUAUGUGUCCCCCGUGCUCCACAAAAAAUUUUAAAGAGAGGAAAAGUAUUGCAUUACUCAAUUGUUGACCUUAUUCAGUGGUCCAUUCGUAAAAGGGUGUCAAAAGCAGCACAAAAACUCAAUGGAAGAAAGCAAAUCGAAAUUCUGACUACAAGUUUUUUACAAGUCGUUGUUUUCCAAACGAAGGAACACAACUCCGUUUCAAGUUUGCAAAAUUCACUCUUAGAAAUCAAUUUUUUACAAGAACAUAACCGUGUGCUUUCCAUCUAAAAUUUUGCAGAGUUUUUCGCAGGGUCAGAAGGAGAACCAAUAAAAUUUUCAUCAAGAUAUGUCCGAGCAUCUCCUUGUAAGAAUAAUGAUUCCGAGUGAACAUUUUGCAACAGGUGAUUGGAGUCACGCUCCUUCAAUUGAGAAACGACAAAGUGAAUGCACUGUUUAACCUGUGAUGUAUCUCCUUUUUUGUGUAGUUAGAAAACGCAAGAGAAAGUUUUAUCAAUUCGCUGUAAAUAGACUUUCUUGACUUACUUUCUUCACCGUGUAAUUUAUAUUCUGUACUCCUCAGUAACUGCUCCGCAAGUAGGUUUGAAUGUUUAGCUGCGUCCUUUUGUAUGUGUCAUCUAUUUGUACAUUUUUCCUCUGUAUGUUAAGGUCUUAAAUUUUUGGAAGGCAUCACUUUACAAAUGGUGAACCAGCGAUUUUAGUCAUGAGUGCCAUUUGCUUAGUCGAGGAAUGACAGCUUUUAUAUUUUCCGUUUUUAAUAAUUUUUUUAUUAUUAUUAUUAUUAAAAAUGAAAGCAUUGCUGUCGACUGAUAGUUCUCCAGAUAUCUAGUGAUCAUGAAUUUUUUCAUUCUUUCAUUCUUUCUAGGGACAAGUCUUGACGACAAAAUAUUUACGGAAAAUUCAGGCACACAAGGUUUUAACAUAUUAAGCUGCCUCCUUCAGUGUAAGUGAAAUUGGUUCUACCAAUUUAGAUGGAUUCUCAAUGAGAAAAACGAAUUUUUGUCAGAAAGGUAUAUUUACCUUCUGUAAAGUAUUUCUCCCAGCUUUACUUUCAACAGAAGGAAUGUCAGAUCUAUCUUAUUUUGACGUUUAUCAACUCAAAUUGUCUUGGAAAGUGCGCAUUUUUAUAUCUAACAUAACUGCAUUUUUUUAACUAACGCACAAUCGGCCUUUUUUAAUUUUAAAUCAAAUUUUUAAUUUUUUUGCUUUUAAAUCUAUCUUUUCAGGAAUCAGUUUUUUGAUGUAUUGAAGCCAAAGGCAUAAAUAUUUUACGCAAUCUUCUCAGAAUAUUUGUUAAAGAGUAUUUGUGUGCGCACAUUAUUUCCUCUAGUUUUGGAACAUAGAUUGGGACAAAGUCAAAGACAAGAGUGACAAAUCAAGUGGAUUUUCUUGAUGAAAUGUGGCCAUAUUUUAAUUAUUGACCAAUUAGCAUGCAGAACUGAAGUUAUAUCGUAAAAUACUUUCUUUAUGAGACUCUUGAACUUGUAACCUCUUUCUUCUCUCCC